CCCUUAGAUGUUCUGGGCCGCACGCGCGCUACACUGAUGCAUUCAACGAGCCUAUCCUUGACCGACAGGUCCGGGUAAUCUUUGAAUCUGCAUCGUGACGGGGAUAGAUUAUUGCAAUUAUUAAUCUUCAACGAGGAAUGCCUAGUAGGCGCAAGUCAUCAGCUUGCGUCGAUUACGUCCCUGCCCUUUGUACACACCGCCCGUCGCUCCUACCGAUUGGGUGUGCUGGUGAAAUGUUCGGAUCGGCCGUUUGUCGCGGUUUCCGCGUCAGGUGGCUGAGAAGUUCAUUAAACCCUCCCACCUAGAGGAAGGAGAAGUCGUAACA
rnacentral:rRNA from 1 species